CGAAUAGUGGGGUCCAGAUUAUGCUCAUUCACAGCCAUAUUUACAUUUUUGCCAUCGUAACGAAGGUUUUUGCAAGACAAUUUCUUUGAGUUUAUUUCAUGGUUAAAUGCUUUACGAUGGUUUAUUAAGUUAUUUGAAUCUGCAAGAAGUGUGCAAAUUUCCCUUGAGACGAUAAAUAACAGAUCGGGUUGGGAUUUUAUUCCAAUAAAUGUACGGAAUAACUAAACAUGGCCUCGUUAAUAUUGCUGCGUAAUGGGUCAGUCGCUGUUCCAAUUUUAUGAUUUAAGAGAUUAAAAAGCGAUACGCGAUGCUGUGAAGUACUCAAAUGUAGUUCUCAAAUUAGUUGGUCGUGAAUUGGAGACAAAAUUUUAAGCUCAAUGACGUGCUCGUGGAAGGUGCACGUCGCAUUGCUAGAAUCAGCAAAGGAGCUGGUGUAGAACGCUAGUCCCAAACCAAUGAGCUUUGUGCUUGAGGGUGGAAGCAACUUUUUGAGGAGCAAACACUACGGUGAACACAUUCGGAUGUUGCACAAGCUAUUGUCAAUUGCGCUAAGGAUCCCGAUACUGCUGGUCAGGUUUAUCAAGCUGUUGGAUCAAAGCGUUACCAGUUGAGCGAAUUAAUUGAAACCAGUCAAUCGUGUUAUGCGCAAAAAUUAAAAAUGCGUUGUAUCCUACCUUCCUAUUGAAAGCCAAGUCGUUUGGUUGUACAAUUGACCUCCAUGGAAGAGCAAGUACCAUGGAAAUUGCGACCCUAUCGUGUUGCGCAAUAUUAUGAUGCCGAAUUGGGAGAGUGGGAGGAACCAGCUCCACCAAAAUCGAUAGAAGAACUACGUAUGUUUGCAUAAAACUACUAUAAUGGCAACAACCAAGCAAAUAUUAAACAACACUCAUCAAAUGAAAGUUGGUGGCGUUGGUGGCCAAGCAGCGAUUUAAAAAGAAAUAUUUGCAUCUACGCGAAUUACAAUUCGUCUUUACAUCUAGUGAAUUAUGAAUAUGAAAGUAUAUAACUUAUCGCAGUUAUUUGUUUUUACUAUUGCAUUUAGUUUUACUUUGUGAACAGCAAAGCUGGCGGAACCUUUUUCUACCGAUUUUAUAAUUAUAACCACAAAUAAAAAGUAAAUUGUAACUAAA